rnacentral:lncRNA from 1 species
UCCUACUUACUCCAUCAAAAAAAAAUUAUUCCCAUUUACCCAACUUAAGUAUCAAAUAACAGUUUUACCCUCAGCCUAAUUAAUUAACUACAGACUCUCUCCCUCUUUCCCUCUCUCUCCCCCCACUUCAAAGAGACCAGUGUGACCAGCAAAUCGUCGGAGGCGGACGACUUCGCAGGCGAAGAAGAAGAAGAAGAGAGAAAAAGCUUCUCUCUCCGAUUUAACUCUCGGUUUUCUCCUCGAAACCACAACCAUCGAUAACCACCACCAAGCUCCGGCAAUGGCGUCCUCUAGGGUUUUGCUCUGCUUCUCCUGUUCAUCGCUCUGUGCUUCACUGCAAUCCAAAUUAUUUGACACUGUCAGCAAGUACGACUUCGUCGUCGUCGCGUUCACAGCUCGAUCUUUUUAAUUUCCUCUGUUAUGUUUGAUUUGAAUCGGUGUUGAUUGCUCUGGUUUUGGUUAUUUGUGUUUUCGCAUCUGUGGAUCUAGACUUUGAUUUGAAUUGGGGAAGGAGGUGGACCGAGGACAUUUUGGUCAUACUUGCUCGGCUAACGAAAAGAAAUGGAGAGCUUACAUGUGGUAUGGGCUUAUUUGGAUAGUGAAUUAUUGAUGUAUGAGCUUGUAAGUAUUUGA